rnacentral:rRNA from 1 species
UACGGGGGGGGCAAGCGUUGUUCGGAAUUACUGGGCGUAAAGGGCUCGUAGGUGGCCAACUAAGUCAUACGUGAAAUCCCUCGGCUUAACUGAGGACGUGCGGAAGAAACUGCAAGGCUCGAGUCCGGGAGAGGGGGGUGGAAUUCCCAGUGUAGCGGUGAAAUGCGUAGAUAUUGGGAGGAACACCGGUGGCGAAGGCGGCCCCCUGGACCGGUACUGACGCUGAGGCGCGAAAGCGUGGGGAGCGAACAGG